CAGCCGCCGCGGGAAUACGUAGGUGGCAAGCGUUGUCCGGAAUUAUUGGGCGUAAAGGGCUCGCAGGCGGUUUCUUAAGUCUGAUGUGAAAGCCCCCGGCUCAACCGGGGAGGGUCAUUGGAAACUGGGAAACUUGAGUGCAGAAGAGGAGAGUGGAAUUCCACGUAUAGCGGUGAAAUGCGUAGAGAUGUGGAGGAACACCAGUGGCGAAGGCGACUCUCAGGUCUGUAACUGACGCUGAGGAGCGAAAGCGUGGGGAGCGAACAGGAUUAGAUACCCGUGUAGUCCCUGUCUCUUAUAC
rnacentral:rRNA from 1 species